GGAGGAGGAUCAGUAGGUAUUAAUAGGAUAGGUUGACUCCAAAGACAGGAAAAAAAAAUCUGAGGGGAUGAUGUAGUUGGAAAAGAAAUUCUGCCAACUAUCUACAAGAAGUGUUCUUGGUGGAAGACUUUGGAGAUCUGUGAGCCAAAUCUCAAUUCAGUGGACAUGCGAAGAGAUAUGACAGCUAGGUUCUGCAGAGGUGGGAUGGAUCAGGUACCUUUUGGAGAAACCCUUUCCCCUAGUGCAGGGAAGUGAGAAAUGUAUAAAUGCUGUUAAGAUCUCAUGUUAGGGACCUGCCUUUGGCAUUGUCUCAAAUGCCCAGGAACCAAGAAAGAACAAUAUGACUUGGGUUGAUAUCUUGGGUUAUAUCCAUAUCUUGGCCUUGGUAAAAGAUAUAGAAUCAACCCAAAUGCUCCUCAGUGGAUGAAUGGGUCAAGAAAAUGUAUAUAAUAAACAACGGAAUUCUACUCUUCCAUCAGAAAAAGAAG